GGUCAAGCGAACAAGUGCAUGUGGUGGAUGCCUUGGCGAUCACAGGCGAUGAAGGACGCGGUAGCCUGCGAAAAGCCCCGGGGAGCUGGCAAACAAGCUUUGAUCCGGGGAUGUCCGAAUGGGGAAACCCACUCCUUAUGGAGUAUCCAUGACUGAAUACAUAGGUCAUGUGAAGCGAACGCGGUGAACUGAAACAUCUAAGUAACCGCAGGAAAAGAAAUCAACCGAGAUUCCCAAAGUAGUGGCGAGCGAAAUGGGAUGAGCCUUGUACUCUUUAUUUGUAUUGUUAGCCGAACGCUCUGGAAAGUGCGGCCAUAGCAGGUGAUAGCCCUGUAGGCGAAAACAGUAUGAAAGAACUAGGUGUACGACAAGUAGGGCGGGACACGUGAAAUCCUGUCUGAAGAUGGGGGGACCAUCCUCCAAGGCUAAAUACUCGUGAUCGACCGAUAGUGAACCAGUACCGUGAGGGAAAGGCGAAAAGAACCCCGGGAGGGGAGUGAAAUAGAUCCUGAAACCGCAUGCAUACAAACAGUCGGAGCCUCGUAAGGGGUGACGGCGUACCUUUUGUAUAAUGGGUCAGCGACUUACGUUCAGUAGCAAGCUUAACCGUAUAGGGCAGGCGUAGCGAAAGCGAGUCCGAAUAGGGCGUUCAGUUGCUGGGCGUAGACCCGAAACCAGGUGAUCUAUCCAUGGCCAGGAUGAAGGUGCGGUAACACGUACUGGAGGUCCGAACCCACUAACGUUGAAAAGUUAGGGGAUGAGCUGUGGAUAGGGGUGAAAGGCUAAACAAACCUGGAAAUAGCUGGUUCUCUCCGAAAACUAUUUAGGUAGUGCCUCGUGUCUCACCUUCGGGGGUAGAGCACUGUCAUGGUUGGGGGGUCUAUUGCAGAUUACCCCGCCAUAGCAAACUCCGAAUACCGAAGAGUGCAAUCACGGGAGACAGACAUCGGGUGCUAACGUCCGGUGUCAAGAGGGAAACAACCCAGACCGCCAGCUAAGGUCCCCAAAUAUGGCUAAGUGGGAAACGAAGUGGGAAGGCUAAAACAGUCAGGAGGUUGGCUUAGAAGCAGCCACCCUUUAAAGAAAGCGUAAUAGCUCACUGAUCGAGUCGUCCUGCGCGGAAGAUGUAACGGGGCUAAGCCAUAUACCGAAGCUGCGGAUGCGUGCUUGCACGCAUGGUAGGAGAGCGUUCCGUAAGCCUGCGAAGGUGCCUUGUAAAGGGUGCUGGAGGUAUCGGAAGUGCGAAUGCUGACAUGAGUAGCGAUAAAGGGGGUGAAAGGCCCCCUCGCCGUAAGCCCAAGGUUUCCUACGCAACGUUCAUCGGCGUAGGGUGAGUCGGCCCCUAAGGCGAGGCAGAAAUGCGUAGCUGAUGGGAAGCAGGUCAAUAUUCCUGCACCAUUGUUAGAUGCGAUGGGGGGACGGAUCGCGGAAGGUUGUCCGGGUGUUGGACGUCCCGGUCGCUGCAUUGGAGAAGGCGCUUAGGCAAAUCCGGGCGCAGGAUUCAAGGGUGUGGCGCGAGCGACUUCGGUCGCGAAGCAAUUGGAAGUGGUUCCAAGAAAAGCCUCUAAGCUUCAGUCUAACGAUGACCGUACCGCAAACCGACACAGGUGGGCGAGAUGAGUAUUCUAAGGCGCUUGAGAGAACUCGGGAGAAGGAACUCGGCAAAUUGGUACCGUAACUUCGGGAUAAGGUACGCCCUUGUAGCUUGACUGGCCUGCGCCAGGAGGGUGAAGGGGUUGCAAUAAACUGGUGGCUGCGACUGUUUAAUAAAAACACAGCACUCUGCAAACACGAAAGUGGACGUAUAGGGUGUGACGCCUGCCCGGUGCCGGAAGAUUAAAUGAUGGGGUGCAAGCUCUUGAUUGAAGUCCCGGUAAACGGCGGCCGUAACUAUAACGGUCCUAAGGUAGCGAAAUUCCUUGUCGGGUAAGUUCCGACCUGCACGAAUGGCGUAACGAUGGCCACACUGUCUCCUCCCGAGACUCAGCGAAGUUGAAGUGUUUGUGAUGAUGCAAUCUACCCGCGGCUAGACGGAAAGACCCCAUGAACCUUUACUGUAGCUUUGCAUUGGACUUUGAACCGAUCUGUGUAGGAUAGGUGGGAGGCUAUGAAACCGGAACGCUAGUUUCGGUGGAGCCGUCCUUGAAAUACCACCCUGGUUUGUUUGAGGUUCUAACCUUGGUCCGUGAUCCGGAUCGGGGACAGUGCAUGGUAGGCAGUUUGACUGGGGCGGUCUCCUCCCAAAGGGUAACGGAGGAGUACGAAGGUACGCUAGGUACGGUCGGAAAUCGUGCUGAUAGUGCAAUGGCAUAAGCGUGCUUAACUGCGAGACCGACAAGUCGAGCAGGUGCGAAAGCAGGUCAUAGUGAUCCGGUGGUUCUGUAUGGAAGGGCCAUCGCUCAACGGAUAAAAGGUACUCUGGGGAUAACAGGCUGAUACCGCCCAAGAGUUCAUAUCGACGGCGGUGUUUGGCACCUCGAUGUCGGCUCAUCUCAUCCUGGGGCUGUAGCCGGUCCCAAGGGUAUGGCUGUUCGCCAUUUAAAGAGGUACGUGAGCUGGGUUUAAAACGUCGUGAGACAGUUUGGUCCCUAUCUGCCGUGGGCGUUGGAUAUUUGAAGGGGGCUGCUCCUAGUACGAGAGGACCGGAGUGGACGAACCUCUGGUGUACCGGUUGUGACGCCAGUCGCAUCGCCGGGUAGCUAUGUUCGGAAGAGAUAACCGCUGAAAGCAUCUAAGCGGGAAACUCGCCUUAAGAUGAGAUAUCCCUGGAGGCUUGACCUCCUUGAAGGGUCGUUCGAGACCAGGACGUUGAUAGGUCGGGUGUGUAAGCGCAGUAAUGCGUUCAGCUAACCGAUACUAAUUGCCCGUAAGGCUUGAUCCU
rnacentral:rRNA from 1 species